CGCGAACACAUCUAAGGAAGGCAGCAGGCGCGAAAAUUACCCACUCUCAGCACGAGGAGGUAGUGACGAAAAAUAACGAGACCGUUCUCUUAUGAGGCCGGUCAUCGGAAUGGGUACAAUUUAAACCCUUUAACGAGUAUCUAUGAGAGGGCAAGUCUGGUGCCAGCAGCCGCGGUAAUUCCAGCUCUCAAAGUGCAUAGAAUUAUUGCUGCGGUUAAAAAGCUCGUAGUUGGAUCUGUGCCAUAGGACUGGGUCUACCUUCGGGUCAGUACUCAGCUCCUAGGCUUUUUGUCGGUUUUCCCGUCGUAGCCUUCACUGGUUGCGGCGGGUGGCUGACGAGUUUACUUUGAGAAAAUCAGAGUGCUCAACACAGGCGUCUAGCUUGAAUGAUUGUGCAUGGAAUAAUAGAAAAGGAUUUCGGUCCUCUUUUAUUGGUUUUGUGGACUGAGAUAAUGGUUAACAGGGACAAACGGGGGCAUUCGUAUCGAUGCGUGAGAGGUGAAAUUCUUGGACCGUAUCGAGACGCCCUACUGCGAAAGCAUUUGCCAAGAAUG
rnacentral:rRNA from 1 species